AACUAAAUCACACGAUCGAACGACAACAAUCGAGUGCUCGAAGAAGCCUCGGAGCCAGAGAUUGUGCAAGUAUAGAAGGAUGGAGAGCAACCACAGGGACCUGCAGCCACCGGCAGGCUACCCGACGACAGUGGGCACGGUGCCGGCAAGUGGCGACGGCUCGCCGCGCCGGGAAGAGACAAGGCAACGCGGCCGCAAAACUGGUUUCCUCGAUGCAUGUGUCGCCGCACUGUGCUGCUGCUGGCUGUGCGACCUGUGCUGCGUCUAGAUCUGACGGCGAAAGCACACGAGCUUAUUUUCUUAUUAUUAUUAUUAGGAGGCAAGUUUUGCUCAGUGUUUCCUAUCAAGAGUAUGCAGAAUCCACGAGUUAUAUCAUCUCGUUAUGUCGUUGCUUUGUAUCUGAGCUGUGUAUGCUUGUGUAUGCGUUGUCCUACAUGUGUGCUUCUGACUUUGCCCUUAAUUCUCUCGUUUUUCCUUUUGGAUUGGGGUGUGUAACCAUCCAUCAUCGUUGAUGAUGUACUGUAAUGCAAUGCAAUGAAUUUGUUUGUUCAUGGAGCU